UACGGGGGGUGCAAGCGUUGUUCGGAAUUAUUGGGCGUAAAGCGCGUGUAGGCGGUUUGUUAAGUCUGUUGUGAAAGCCCUGGGCUCAACCCAGGAAGUGCACUGGAUACUGGCAGACUUGAAUACGGGAGAGGGUAGUGGAAUUCCUGGUGUAGGAGUGAAAUCCGUAGAUAUCAGGAGGAACACCGGUGGCGAAGGCGGCUACCUGGACCGAUAUUGACGCUGAGACGCGAAAGCGUGGGUAGCAAAC
rnacentral:rRNA from 1 species